UUUCUACCAUACUUAUAGAGAUUAAAUGAAGUGGUUCACUCUCUAAAUCCCACAGCAGUCUGGGCUGGGCUAUGCUGAAGCCAGGAUCCAGGAAUUCUAUUCUGUUUUCCCACAUGGGUGAUAGGGACCUGAGUACAUGGGCCAUCAUCUGCUGCCUCCCAGGCACAUUAGCAGGAAGCUGGAUGAGAAACAGAGGCAAGACUCUAUCCUGGGCGCUUUCCGUUAUGGGAUGCAGGCAUCCCAAGCAGCAGCUUAAUUCACUAUGGAAUAACACCAUCCUUUUGAUUUAUUUAUUUUAGGAUGUAUGACUCAUUUUGAGUUAAUUUUCAAAUAGGGUUGGAAGAUGUCCAACUUUAUUCUUUGGCAUGUAGAUAUCCAGUUGUCCUAGCACUUUUUGUUGAAAAGACAAUUCUCCAUUGAACUUUCUCGGCACCACAAACCUCAUAAAAUACUAAUGAAAACAGACCUCAAAACUGUCAAAGUUCAAUGGGCAUGGAGCAGGAUAAGAAAACAUUCAAAGUUGCAGGUGUGGACUAUUAUUAUUAUUGGACUAGACUUGUCAGAAGAGUGAAGAAUAAUGGAGUACUACUCCUAGAUAGCAGGUAACAGACCCUGAUGAAAAAAUGUCCUUGUCCUUCCAGUCCCAGCCUGGACUUCAGCCUGGAUAUGGACUAGUGCCUGGUCUCUUAAUGCAAAAUUUCGCCCUACGGGAAGGGGAACCACGUCAGUAAACUGGUCUAGCCAACUAGAUGAGAGGCCAUAAGGAAGAUAUCUGAGGUACCCUGCCUAACAGCCAGUACCAGCUGCCAGACAUGUGAAUGAAGCAUCUUGGACCUUCCAGCCUAGCAAAAAUGCCCCAGCUAAAUACAGCCACAGGCAGAGGAAAUUGACACCAAAUGUCCAUAAUGGCCAGGACCAGGCCAGCUGAAGCUCAGAACCAAUAAUAAAACCCAAGUGUCUCACUCUGAUGAGGGUGCCAGAAUGAAAUCACUUAGGCUAUCUCCACUGCUUCUCAGGGUAACAGCAAGAAGCUACAGUCAGGAAUCAAAUCCAGGCACUUCAAUAAAUGGGCUCAGACAUCUUGACUGGCAUUGUUUGACCAACACAUGCCUUAUAUUCAUUUUUUUUUUAAAAAUUCAUUUUAUUUUUAC